rnacentral:rRNA from 1 species
AAUCGAACUCGGAGAUAGCUGGUUCUCCCCGAAAUAGCUUUAGGGCUAGCCUCAUAUUAGAUACCCGGAGGUAAAGCACUGAAUGGCCUAGCGCCCGAGAGGGUAGCGAAGCCUAUCAAACUAAGAAUGCCGGAGUAUUGAUGUAUGGGAGUCAGACAGUGUGAGAUAAAUCUCAUUGUCAAAAGGGAAACAGCCCAGAUCUACAGCUAAGGUCCCAAAUUGUAUCUAAGUGGAAAACGAUGUGGAAAUACGCAGACAACCAGGAUGUUGGCUCAGAAGCAGCCACUCAUUUAAAGAGUGCGUAAUAGCUCACUGGUCGAGCGUCUCUGCGCGGAAAAUUUAACGGGGCUAAGAUACAAACCGAAGCUUAGGCUGCACGUAAGUGCGGGGUAGGGGAGCGUUGUGUAAGCGGAGAAACAGUAGCGUAAGCGGCUGUGGAGUUUACAGAAGUGAGAAUGCCGGAAUGAGUAGCGCGAAUGUGGUGAGAAUCCACAUGGCCGGAAACCUCAGGUUUUUGGAGGAAGGUUCGUCCGCUCCAAGUUAGGCGGGAGCUAAGGUCAGGCCGAAAGGCGUAGCCGAUGCACAGACGGUAGAGAUUCCGUCCCCACCGAAAGAUUUAAGCACAGGGACACUUUUUGAAGGUCGGAGCCAGGUGUUGGUUCUGGUAGUGAUCGAGGGAAAUAUAGUACCGAAGUCCGGCUGGAAGAGAGGCGAGAAAAGCUGUGUGUAUAUCUAAGGUGCCCGUACCGCAAACCGACACAGGUAGGUAGGAAGAAGAUUCUAAGGCCAACGGGAGAAGGGUUGUUAAGGAACUCGGCAAGUUGACCCCGUAACUUCGGAAUAAGGGGUGCUCACGAGAGUGAGCCGCAGAGAAUAGGCCCAGGCAACUGUUUACCAAAAACACAGGUUUGUGCUAAAUCGAAAGAUGACGUAUACGAGCUGACGCCUGCCCGGUGCUGGAAGGUUAAAAGGAGAUGUGCAAGCAUUGAAUUGAAGCCCCAGUGAACGGCGGCCGUAACGAUAACGGUCCUAAGGUAGCGAAAUUCCUUGUCAGGUAAGUUCUGACCCGCAUGAAAGGCGUAAUGAUUUGGGCACUGUCUCAACAGCCCGCCCGGCGAAAUUGUAGUACCGGUGAAGAUGCCGGUUACCCGCGACAAGACGGAAAGACCCCAUGGAGCUUUACUGUAGCCUGAUAUUGGGUUUCGGUGUUGCAUGCACAGGAUAGAUGGGACGCUGGGAAAGAAGCGCUUUGGCGUUUCUGGAGCGGACGUUGGGAUACCAUCCUUGCGACAUUGGAAUUCUAACCUGCGCCUCUGAAUCGAGGCGGGGGACAUUGUCAGGUGGGCAGUUUGACUGGGGCGGUCGCCUCCUAAAAAGUAGCGGAGGCGUUCAAAGGUUCGUUCGAUCUGGACGGAAACCAGAUGAUUGAGUGCAAACGCAUAAACGAGCCUGACUGCGAGACUGACGGGUCGAGCAGAGACGAAAGUCGGAGUUAGUGAUCCGGUGGUAUGUGAGUGGAAAUGCCAUCGCUCAACGGAUAAAAGUUACCCUGGGAUAACAGGCUGAUCUCCCCCAAGAGUCCACAUCGACGGGGAGGUUUGGCACCUCGAUGUCGGCUCAUCGCAUCCUGGGGCUGAAUUCGGUCCCAAGGGUUUGGCUGUUCGCCAAUUAAAGCGGUACGCGAGCUGGGUUCAGAACGUCGUGAGACAGUUCGGUCCCUAU